CGAAGCAAUCGGAAGUGGUUCCAAGAAAAGCCUCUAAGCUUCAGUCAUACGAGACCGUACCGCAAACCGACACAGGUGGGCGAGAUGAGUAUUCUAAGGCGCUUGAGAGAACUCGGGAGAAGGAACUCGGCAAAUUGGUACCGUAACUUCGGGAAAAGGUACGCCCUUGUAGUUUGACCACUUUACUGUGGAAGGAUGAACGGGUUGCAAUAAACUGG
rnacentral:rRNA from 1 species